rnacentral:rRNA from 1 species
AGAGUUUGAUUCUGGCUCAGAUUGAACGCUGGCGGCAUGCCUUACACAUGCAAGUCGAACGGCAGCGCGGGAGCAAUCCUGGCGGCGAGUGGCGAACGGGUGAGUAAUGCAUCGGAACGUGCCCUGAAGUGGGGGAUAACGUAGCGAAAGUUACGCUAAUACCGCAUAUUCUGUGAGCAGGAAAGCAGGGGAUCGCAAGACCUUGCGCUUUAGGAGCGGCCGAUGUCGGAUUAGCUAGUUGGUGGGGUAAAGGCCUACCAAGGCGACGAUCCGUAGCGGGUCUGAGAGGAUGAUCCGCCACACUGGGACUGAGACACGGCCCAGACUCCUACGGGAGGCAUC